rnacentral:rRNA from 1 species
AACGAACGCUGGCGGCAGGCCUAACACAUGCAAGUCGAGCGAGGUAGCAAUACCUAGCGGCGGACGGGUUAGUAACGCGUGGGAACGUGCCCAAAGGUACGGAAUAGCCUCGGGAAACUGAGAGUAAUACCGUAUGUGCCCUUCGGGGGAAAGAUUUAUCGCCUUUGGAUCGGCCCGCGUUGGAUUAGGUAGUUGGUGGGGUAAUGGCCUACCAAGCCGACGAUCCAUAGCUGGUUUGAGAGGAUGAUCAGCAACACUGGGACUGAGACACGGCCCAGACUCCUACGGGAGGCAGCAGUGGGGAAUCUUAGACAAUGGGGGAAACCCUGGAUCUAGCCAUGCCGCGUGAGCGAUGAAGGCCUUAGGGUUGUAAAGCUCGUUUCAGCUGGAAGAUAAUGACGGUACCAGCAGAAGAAGCCCGGCUAAC